GUAAAAAAAAGGUUUAUAUGUCCAUUGUUUACACCCUCGUAUCUGGUAAACAUGUCGUCAUACUUCCGUUCACUCGACGAUUAUGUCUUUCAAAACACAUUUUUCGAUAAAUCCAAACGCGUCAAUGCAUCUAGUAGAGUGUUCUAAACAAAAUGAGAGUAGUUCAAGUCAUUUCUAAUAAAAACUACCCCGGCAAACUUAUAAAAUAGUGAAAGGGGGCGUGUUCUGCAGGUAGCGUUUCUUGUGCGUAUGCAAAAGUUUUUUAUAAAAAAAAUGGACAAAUGACCAAUUGAAAUCAUGUAGCGUCUAGUGACGUGUAGCUAAUGAUAUGACGGAUACACCCAUGUGCGGAUUUGCAUAAUGCUUGUAUAUUAUAGUGUUGUUAUCUGUGCGUAUACAUUAGCACUCAGAAGAGUUACGCACUCGUGCUCGUGCACAUACAGGGCUUUGAGACGUCACCUGCUUGUUAGCACUUCUUACAAUGGACUAGCAUCGAGGACAGAAGUUUUUUCUCUUUCUGCUGCCUUGGAAGAACUUAUGCGAAGCAGUGAUGAAGAAAAUGUCGAGGAUACCGAAGAAGAAAGUGUUUGCAGUGUCGAUUUGGAACAAGAGGAAAUGUUUUUACACGGUCUAGAUCGGGAUGCUGACACUUCUGAUGAAGAGUGGUUACCAGAGGCCUCUGGACCACAGACUAAUCAUUCCUGCCUUUCUAAACAUCUUCACCUGCGUUCACCUGUGCCAAGGGAAGAGGAAAGAAAAGGACACAGAUAGAAUCUCCAUCUGACUCACGCAGCACUGUAUGGUUGGUGAAAAUACAAUGCUGAAAAGAAAACUGUACUUUGAGGCAGACUGUUGACAGAUUAUUGUAAGAUAGUAUUGUGAAUGUGUGCAAAUGGCAUCACUAGAACAGGUCUGAUGGUACAUUACUCUGCUAUUCAUAAUCCUAAAGUGUGAACUUUGUUUAUGAAUAGAGCAGGCAUGAUGGUACAUUACUCUGAUAGCCAUAAUCCUAAAGUGUGAAUUUUGUGUAUGAAUAGAGCAGGCAUGAUGGUACAUUACUCUGAUAGCCAUAAUCCUAAAGUGUGAAUUUUGUGUAUGAAUACAGCAGGCAUAAUGGGACAUUACUUUGCUAUUCAUAAUCCUAAAGUGUGAAUUUUGUGUAUGAAUAGAGCAGGGAUGAUGGUACAUUACUCUGAUAGCCAUAAUCCUAAAGUGUGAAUUUUAUGUAUGAGUACAGCAGGGAUGAUGGGACAUUACACUGCUAUUCAUAAUCCUAAAGUGUGAAUUUUGUGUAUGAAUAGAGCAGGCAUGAUGGUACAUUACACUAAUAGUCAUAAUCCUAAAGUGUAAAUGCAAUACUUUGUAAAUAGUUUGUAUUUUUGACUCGUGUCACAGCACUGCCAAGCUAUGUGCAAUACUUUAUCACAGUUUGUUGAUAACUACUAUAUUGUAAACAUAUAAAAACCUAUACAUAAAUUUGUUCUUUAAUGUUGUACAUUUUCCUAAACCAUGCAAAAUUAUGUAAGUAAAUAAAGACAUUGUUUCAUUUUA